rnacentral:rRNA from 1 species
GACGAACGCUGGCGGCAUGCCUAACACAUGCAAGUCGAACGGACUUUUAGGAUUUAGUUUACUAGAUCCUAAAAGUUAGUGGCGGACGGGUGAGUAACGCGUGGGUAACCUGCCCAUAAGUUGGGGAUAACUCCGGGAAACCGGUGCUAAUACCGAAUAAGCUUAAUUUAUCGCAUGGUAGAUUAAGUAAAGAUGGCCUCUUUACAAUGCUAUCGCUUAUGGAUGGACCCGCGUCUGAUUAGCUAGUUGGUGAGGUAACGGCUCACCAAGGCGACGAUCAGUAGCCGGCCUGAGAGGGUGAACGGCCACACUGGGACUGAGACACGGCCCAGACUCCUACGGGAGGCUG